rnacentral:piRNA from 1 species
AUCGAGGAGCUUUGGGGAAAUAGGA